UCGCCGAUCCACCCGACCCUUACGAUCCCGAUCUCUUCUUCCCCGAUCUCCCCUUCUUCCUUCUCUAUUCUCUCUCUCUCGGACGAGCGACGGCGACGGGAGCAAGGCUCCAGCUCCGGCGAUCUUCCUUUACCAGCGUCGGCGGCCGUUGAGCACAGAUCCAGGUGGCGCUGUUCCUCUCCGGAUCGCAGGCAUGACGUCGCAUCUCCUCUAGCCGACCUUGCUUCCCCGAUCCGACGCUACUGGAUCGAUCCAGAUCCACCCGAUCGUCAGCGUGGAAGGAACAUUAGGGUCUUGAGGAUCUUGGAUCCAAUCUUCGUUCUUGUUAAUUUGGGGACAGAAGAAUUCCUAGUACGUUGCUUCACGGAUCGGAUGGGGCGACGUUUUCUAGAGACGAUCGAUUGAGGUUUCGGUUGAUGAUGAUGGGAUCAAUUGAGUUGUUGGGCAGAGGAUUGAAGGGUUGAUUGAUGUCUUGGAUUGCUUGAUUUGAGAUCAGUGAUCUGCUUGUUGACCUCUUCUCUUGAUCCGAUCAGUGAGGUGAGUUCUGUUGCUGCGAGGCUGGGAUUGUGAUCUUUGAGGUGUAUCCAGCAGCUUUCCCUAACCGGCAGCAACCCCUUUGGUUGUGAUCUAUUGGUGAUCACCUUGGAUUCGAGGAGUCUGAUUUGAGACAGGCGUCUCGACGUUGAAUUCGGAUUUGGAUUGUACCUUCUAUUUGAGGCGGGUACCCUUUGACUUAUCUUGUUGAUAUUGUCUUGUGAUAUGUGCAGUUUAUAUAUGUUUACUAGUAAUUGGUAGAUCUUUCUCUUCUCUGGUUAUAGUUUAUUCUAUACCUGUAGGCGAUUAUUAGCGAUUGGUAGUUAGCAUAUUCCCUGGUUUAGUUAUUUGAUACUUGAUACAUGUUGCUACGAUUAGCAUCUAUACCUUAGUCUAGCAUGUUUUUCUUUCUUGCUAUGCUUAUCUGUGUUCAUAGAGAUGCAUAUCUAUAGUGCUCUACUCUACUGGAUUAGUUGCU